CCUACGGGACGCAGCAGUGGGGGAUAUUGCACAAUGGGGGGAACCCUGAUGCAGCGACGCCGCGUGGGUGAAGAAGCGCCUCGGCGCGUAAAGCCCUGUCAGCAGGGAAGAGAAUGACGGUACCUGAAGAAGAAGCCCCGGCUAACUACGUGCCAGCAGCCGCGGUAAUACGUAGGGGGCAAGCGUUAUCCGGAUUUACUGGGUGUAAAGGGAGCGCAGGCGGCUUUGCAAGUCUGAUGUGAAAGGCCAGGGCUCAACCCUGGGACUGCAUUGGAAACUGUAAAGCUAGAGUGCCGGAGAGGUAA
rnacentral:rRNA from 1 species